UGCAGUGGUGGAACGAUUUUUUUGUAGUUUGAAGGGCGAGUGCGUUGACGAUCGCGCGUAUCGCGACCAUGCAGAAGCGCAGGCCCAUGUGCUGGACUACAUCCUGAUGUUCUACAACCAGCGCAGCUUGCAUUCGGCUCUCGGGCAUUUGCCGCCUGCCGAGUACGAAGUAGUAAAAGCACAAAGCGCCUGACGAAGUGUCCAAGUUCGGUGAACCACUACAACCCAGAUUCCCAAAGUAGUGGCGAGCGAAAUGGGAUCAGCCGGUACUCUUUAUUUAUCUUAUUAGCUGAACGCUCUGGAAAGUGCGGCCCGAGCAGGUGAUAGCCCUGUAAGCGAAAAUAGAUAGGAGGAAAGAACUAGGGGUACGAGAAGUAGGGCGGGACACGUGAAAUCCUGUCUGAAGAUGGGGGGGCCAUCCUCCAAGGCUAAAUACUCGUGAUCGACCGAUAGUGAACCAGUACCGUGAGGGAAAGGCGAAAAGAACCCCGGGAGGGAAGUGAAAUAAAUCCUGAAACCACAUGCAUAAAAACAGUCGGAGCCUGGAGACGGGUGACGGCGUACCUUUUGUAUAAUGGGUCAGCGACUUGCGUUCAGUAGCGAGCUUAACUGAUUAAGGCAGGCGUAGCGAAAGCGAGUCCGAAUAGGGCGAACAGUUGCUGGGCGUAGGCCCGAAACCAAGUGAUCUAUCCAUGGCCAGGUUGAAGGUGCGGUAACACGUACUGGAGAACCGAACCCACUAACGUUGAAAAGCUAGGGGAUGAGCUGUGGAUAGGGGUGAAAAGCUAAACAAACUUGGAAAUAGCUGGUUCUCUCCGAAAACUAUUUAGGGCAACGCUGAUUAAGUCCACCGCUUGUGCGCGUCAAGCGUUAUAGAGCGCACCAGCAACGAGCAAGGCAAAAGACAAUGAAGCAGCAGACGCUCGCGAUGGCCGCGGAUCAAGGUGCGGGGUUCGAGACUCGCCGCAAACGCACGCGACGCGACGAGUUUCUUGACACGGUGAACAGGAGCGUUGCGUGGACCGAACUGUGCGCGGUAAUUGAACCGUAUUACCCGAAACGCGGCAACGGUCGCCCGCCGAUUGGUUGGGAGCGCAGGCUGCGGAUUCACUUCGUGCAGCACUGGUUCAAUCUGGCCGACUUCGCUUG
rnacentral:rRNA from 1 species